GUCCACGCCGUAAACGAUGGAUACUAGCUGUUGGGGCAACUUCAGUGGCUAAGCGAAAGUGAUAAGUAUCCCACCUGGGGAGUACGUUCGCAAGAAUGAAACUCAAAGGAAUUGACGGGGCCCGCACAAGCGGUGGAGCAUGUGGUUUAAUUCGAUGAUACGCGAGGAACCUUACCAAGGCUUAAAUGUAGAUUGACCGGUUUGGAAACAGACUUUUUCGCAAGACAAUUUUACAAGGUGCUGCAUGGUUGUCGU
rnacentral:rRNA from 1 species